GAUGAACGCUAGCGGCAGGCUUAAUACAUGCAAGUCGAGGGGCAGCAUGACUGUAGCAAUACAGUUGAUGGCGACCGGCAAACGGGUGCGGAACACGUACAGAACCUUCCUUCGAGCGGGGAAUAGCCCAGAGAAAUUUGGAUUAAUACCCCAUAGUACAACGGAGUGGCAUCACUUUGUUGUUAAAGAUUUAUCACUUGAAGAUGGCUGUGCGGCUGAUUAGGUAGUUGGCGGGGUAACGGCCCACCAAGCCUGCGAUCAGUAACUGGUGUGAGGGCACGACCAGUCACACGGGCACUGGGAAAGGGGCCCGACUCCUACGGGAGGUAGCAGUAAGGAAAAUUGGUCAAUGGACGAAAGUCUGAGCCAGCCAUGCCGCGUGGAGGAUGAAGGUCCUCUGGAUUGUAAACUUCUUUUAUAUGGGACGAAAAAAGGGUUUUCUAACUCGUCUGACGGUACCAUAUGAAUAAGCACCGGCUAACUCCGUGCCAGCCGCCGCCGUAAUAC
rnacentral:rRNA from 1 species